rnacentral:lncRNA from 1 species
GGGAGACAGUGCUAGUAUUUUCCCAGUUUCACAGCUGGGAAACGGAGGCUCUGAGACGCUGAGUGACUUGUCCAAGGUUCUGAGACUUGGAAGGGCAAUGUUGACAUUUGGAUCCAGGACUCCGAAAGCGUGUGUGUACAACUACCAUGCCACCCUGCCUGCCCAGCCUCUAUCCUGAAGAGCGUUGGACCCUGGAGCUGCUGGCCACAUCUUGAUCUGCCAUAUGUGGUCCAAGAAUGAAGUCAACACGAAGGAGAAUGAAGGUGCUGAGGGAUAAAGUUAUUGACAUUCUAGGAGCUCCUGGAUCAAACCAUGCCUGAACUCAAUUUAUCCCUUGAACUUUUCAAUUACAUGAAUAAAUCCUCCUUUUGCCUGAGUCAAUGUGGAUUAGUAUCAUUGGCAUUCAGAAGAUUCCUAAAGUCUCAGGUCUUCUGCACAUCUAUAACCAUGGCAAUUGCGG